UUCCAAAAUGUCAUGGAUUCAGCGGGCGGCCAGGAGGGGGCGCUGCCUCCACGGACCUGUGAGCCCAGCGAGUCCUGCACUACCUCCACCGCCUGCAGGGGGCGCCCGAGCCCUGCUCCCUGACGCCGGCGCGCGCACGCGCACGCUCGUUCAGCCCGCCUCCUGCGUGGCAGGAGCUCCGCUUCCUCAGGACCCACUAAGGGGGAUUCGGGGGGACGUGGGGACGUGGGGCCGCGGCCACAGGGACAGGAACUGGGUCUCCUCAGGACCCACUGUGGAGGCUUCGGGAGGACGUGGUGCUGCGUCCACACUGACAGGAAACCUGCUUCCUUAGGACCCACUGUGGGGGAUUACGGCAGACGUGGGCCCGCGUCCACACCGACAAGAACCCGGUCUCCUGAGGACCCGCUGUGGAGGAUUCGGGAGGACGUGGGGCCGCGUCCACAGGGACAAGAACCCGUCGCCUCAGGACCCGCCGCGGAAGGAGCAGGCGGGGAGAAAGCGAGGCUAGGGGAGGAGGGGCUUCUGGAGCGGGGACGCUGAGGGGGGCGGUGUUCAGGGGACCCCGCGGGGAAGGGCCCGGCGCGGCUUCGUGCGCGGUGACACCGUGUCCCCCGCGGGGCUGUGCGCGCGGCUGUCGGGGCCGAGGGACCGCGGGGCCGCGCGUCCGUGUACCUGCUCCGCUCUGACUCGGUUCCCGCCGCGUCCCGUUCGCGGUCCAGGAGCAGGUGGCCGGGCGAUGCUCGCGCUCCCGCCGCUCUGGCCGCGUGGGGUCCGUCCCGCCUCCGCGUGCGGGUCGGGGUGUCAGUCCUGUGUCUGCGACGGCGUCGUGGGGAGUUCGUUGCGACGGCCCCGCAUCUGCUGAUCGCUCCGGGCAGGACGGCUGUGGUCACAGGAUCGAUUCCUCCAAGGAGCAGCUUUCUGUCCCUGUGCGUCUUCCUCCGUUUCUGCCCCCAGUGUCCUGUCCUCAGAGAGCAGGCCUGUCACCUCCUUGCUUAGAUCCCCCCCCCCCCUCCCCUCCCUGGGUCCUUCUUUCCUUCUGAUGCGGUUGUAAAUGGGACCGUUUGUUCAUUUCUCUUUCUGAUGGGUUAGGGUCAGGAGUGUGUAGAUGUGCACAUGAUCUCGUAUCCUGCGGGUGUGCUUACUUAUUAGUUCUGUUUACCUUAAAAAUAACGCCGCCAAUUUUUACCAGCAAAAAUGGGUUUAUUUGGGAAGAAGAGAGUAUUCGUCCUCCUGUGACUGGCGUCUUUCCCUCCGCACGACGACUGCAAGGUUCAGUCCACGUCGUAGCAGGGGUCAGAAUUCCCGCCCUUUGUGAGGCUGAGCCUAUUCCGUCAUGUAGAGACCGCAUCUUGUUUAUUUAUUCAUCUGUCCGCGGUCACUCGGGUUGCUUCCGUGUUUGGGCUCCUGGGAAGAGGCUGCUAUGAACACGGGAACAGGAACGUCGGCUCAAGGCUUCGCUUUCCAUUUCCGGGCGUGUGUGCAGAGGUGGAGUCUGUGUUAGCUUCCUGAGGAACCACGUACUGUUCCCUGCGGCCGCGCCGUGUUACUUCGUUCCUUUACGGGACGGAAUACUAUUGCAGUUCACGGGUCUGCCCCAGUUUGUUUCUCCAUUCAUCCCCCCACCCCGGGAGCAUUUGCAUAGUUUCUACCUUUCUGCUAUCAUGAAGAGUGCUGCUGUGUAUGUUUGUGCACGUGCUCUUUUUUUCAACUACUGUUUUCAAUUCAUCCGGAUACCCAUCUCGGAGUAGAGUUGUUGGGCCAUAUG